rnacentral:rRNA from 1 species
GACGAACGCUGGCGGCGUGGAUUAGGCAUGCAAGUCGAACGGUAUCAUCCUUUCGGGGGUGAGAGAGUGGCGAACUGGUGAGUAACACGUAGGUUAUCUACCCUCAAGACGGGGACAACCCAGGGAAACUUGGGCUAAUACCGGAUGUGAGCAACUUUUAGUUGUUUGAAAGGUGGCGUAAGCUGUCGCUUGGGGAUGAGCCUGCGUCCUAUUAGUUAGUUGGUGAGGUAACGGCUCACCUAGGCAAUGAUAGGUAGGCGGCCUUAACGGGUGGUCGCCCACACUGGGAUUGAGAUACGGCCCAGACUCCUACGGGAGGCAGCAGUCGAGAAUAGUCUACAAUGGUCGGAAGACUGAUAGUGCGACGCCGCGUGAACGAUGAAUCCCUUCGGGGUUAAAGUUCUUUUAUAUGUGAGCAGUGCUUCUAUAUUAACAGUAUGGGGAAGAGAUAUUAGCAUAUGAAUAAAGCAACGGCUAAACUCCGUGCCAAGCAGCCGCGGUAAUCUCG